rnacentral:pre_miRNA from 1 species
UCUUAUGAAUGAGCAAAGAAAGUGUUCUUUUGAGAUAGAUUGUACUCCUGGUGAAGAUGCUGUGAC